rnacentral:rRNA from 1 species
CAGCUCUCCGAGUGGUAGGGAUGAUUAUUGGGCUUAAAGCGUCCGUAGCCGGCUUAGCAAGUCUCCUGUUAAAUUCAGCGACCUAAUCGUUGAGCCGCGGGAGAUACUACUAGGCUAGGAGGCGGGAGAGGCCGACGGUACUUCCGGGGUAGGGGUGAAAUCCUAUAAUACCGGGCGGACCACCAGUGGCGAAGGCUGUCGGCUAGAACGCGCUCGACGGUGAGGGACGAAAGCUGGGGGAGCGAACCGGAUUAGAUACCCGAGUAGUCC